rnacentral:lncRNA from 1 species
UACCAACCACGCCAGUCAUGACGGAGGACAAGAGCGAAGCGCUUUCUCCCAACCCAAUUGUUCGAAAAAGUAUUGGGGCAUAAAAGGCUAUGACAUUGAUCCCUGUCACUUGCUGAAAAAAUGGUAUGGCUAUUGCCAUCACAAGCUGAGGCCUAUACUUUCUCUCCAGGAUUUUCUUGAAAGGGUGUUUCAUGUUUUUCGAUAUGUUGUUUGCUUUGAUCAGAUCAUCGAGUUCCACUUGGACAUCAUCGACCCCUCUGAUACGUUGCAGCAUUAGCUUGGCUGUUUGGUGGUCCGCGCUGCGCUGGAUUAGGCUGUUGGGUGUUUCCGGAAGGAAAAAUG